rnacentral:rRNA from 1 species
GCCUAGACUUAUGUCUAGGCUGUUCUCGAGCCUAAAAAGCUCGAGAAGUAAGGGCCGGGUAAGACGGGUGCCAGCCGCCGCGGUAAUACCCGCGGCCCGAGUGGUGCUCAUUAUUAUUGAGCCUAAAGCGUCCGUAGCUGGCCAGACAAAUCUCCGGGUAAAUCGGGCGGCCCAACCGUCCGAAUUCCGGAGACACUGUUUGGCUUGGGAUCGGGAGAGGGUGAAGGUACUCCCGGGGUAGGGGUAAAAUCCUGUAAUCCUGGGGGGACCACCGGUGGCGAAGGCGUUCACCUAGAACGAAUCCGACAGUGAGGGACGAAGCCCUAGGGCGCAAACGGGAUUAGAUACCCCGGUAGUCUAGGGUGUAAACUCUGCAGACUUGGUGUUGGGGGUCCUGCGUGGGCUCCCAGUGCCGGAGUGAAGAUGUUAAGUCUGCCGCUUGGGGAGUACGGUCGCAAGACUGAAACUUAAAGGAAUUGGCGGGAGAGCACCGCAACGGGAGGAGCGUGCGGUUCAAUUGGAUUCAACGCCGAAAAACUCACCGGGGGCGACGGAGGGAUGAAAGCCAGGCCGAAGACCUUGCCCGAUUCUCCGAGAGGUGGUGCAUGGCCAUCGUCAGUUCGUACCGUAAGGCGUUCUGUUAAGUCAGAUAACGAACGAGACCCUCGCCCUCAGUCGCUAUUUCACCAGCGGUGGUGAGAGCACACUGGGGGGAUCGCUGCCGCUAAGGCAGAGGAAGGAGAGGUCUACGGUAGGUCCGUAUGCCCCGAAUCUCCCGGGCAACACGCGCGCUACAAAGGUGGGGACAAUGGGAUCCGACCCCGAAAGGGGAAGGCAAUCCUGAAACCCCAUCGUAGUCUGGAUCGAGGGCUGUAACUCGCCCUCGUGAAACUGGAUUCCGUAGUAAUCGCGGGUCAACAUCCCGCGGUGAAUGUGCCCCUGCUCUUUGCACACACCGCCCGUCAAGUCAUCCGAGUUGGGUCGGAGUGAGGGUGACUCUAUGGGUCGCUCGAACUUCGGUUCAGCAAGGGGGACUAAGUCGUAACAAGGUAUCUGUAGGGGAACCUGCAGAUGGAUCACCUCCU